UCUUGGCUUCCUCUUCAAGAACUUCAGUUCAUCUCUUUCCUUUCGUCCUCAACCUCUAAACCUCCGUCUUUGCUAGGGUUUCUAAGGUUUCUUUCACAGUUUAAUCUGGUGGAAUACGAUUUUCGACAUUUUCCCACUGCAGUAACGACGUGUUUCUCCCUUCUUAGAAGCUUUCAUUUGUUGGCCGUCUGAACAUUGGAGGUGUUUCUUUACGUGUAAAGGUUGAUGGACGGAGCGGAACUUUUCAUUGAUCUCACAGAAACUACCGGAGCGACAAGGAAGACCGUAGAAGCUAACGAGUUUCAACCCUUCGAUGGAAACCAAAUUGCCAGUCUUCAAUCCCAGCUUCGUCUUCUCCAAGACAGAGUGAAGGAAUUGGAGGAGAAAAAUUCGAAGCUAUCCUCUCGACUUGCAAGUUGCUGUUGUUCUGAGAGGAGGAUGAACUUUGGCGACAGGAGUCGUUCGAUUGAGAAAAGCAAGGAAUCUGGCACUACUAAGAAGAAAUCAGUAGAAAAAACAACAGGUUAUAACACCAGGAUCUUGGAUCACUGUUCAAAGAGAUAUAUUGCUCUAAAAGUAAUGUACUUCGGGCAGAGGUUCUAUGGUUUUGCUUCAGAGGCACAAAUGGAACCAACAGUUGAAUCUGAAAUUUUCAGAGCUCUUGAGAAAGCUAGGCUUCUUGUUGGUGGUAGGAAGGAGUCUUGUUAUUCAAGAUGUGGGAGAACGGACAAGGGUGUGUCAUCGGUUGGGCAAGUAAUUGCUCUCUAUUUACGGUCAAACCUUAAGGAUCCCCCUAAUGGUGAAAAUAGUUGUCAUAAUGGGGAAGAGCAGCAUGAUGGAGAAAUUGAUUACGUGAGAGUAAUUAAUAAAGUCCUUCCUAAUGACAUUCGGGUUUUAGGCUGGUGUUCUGUUCCUGUUGGCUUCAGUGCAAGGUUUAGUUGUUUGAGAAGAAAGUAUAAAUAUUUUUUCUGGGGAGCAAAUUUGAAUAUCUCGGCUAUGGAGAGGGCUGGUAAGAAGUUUGUAGGAGAACAUGACUUCAGAAACUUCUGCAAAAUGGAUGCAGCAAAUGUUCACAAUUAUAGGCGACGCAUCAUGUCGUUUGACAUUUCUCCUUGUGAUGUGAGGACGGAAGGCAAUCCAUUAUGGGCUUUCAACAUUGAAGGCAGUGCUUUCCUCUGGCAUCAGGUUCGCUGCAUGGUUGCUGUUGUAUUCAUGGUUGGGCAAGAUCUUGAAGAUCCUGAUGUUAUAGACAUUCUACUGGAUCCAUUAAGAACGCCAAGGAAGCCUCAAUAUGUUAUGGCUUCAGAAAAUUCUCUGGUUCUUCAUUCUUGUGAAUUUGAAGGUGUCAAAUUUUGGUGUUCGUCAGAUGCUGGAGAAGCACUUCAGUUGCAUUUGUCGAAUGAAAUACGAACAUACAAGCUCCAAGCUGCAAUAUUCAAAGAAGCUCUUCUAAGCUGUUUGCCAAAUGAUGGGAGCUCUUCAGACAACAGAAAGUUAAAGAAGAAAAAUUCCCAUGUUGCCUUGUUGUCAAGGCCAACUGAGCUUACAGCUGGAUGCAACAGCAGGGUGUAAGGUAUUUCCCUUACAAUCUAUUGAUAUGAGAUGGAAAGAAUUGCUCUGAGGCAAUACAAACACUUCUCCGCUAUUCAAGAGGGUUAAUAAGCUCUCCAGCUCACUGAAAGAUACAAAAUGUAUGAAAAUCCUCUCCUUAGUUCCUUACAAAUAUAUAGCCCCCUUUUCCAAACACUCUGGUCACAAUCUCACAUGAUCUUGGAAACGCAACUCAAGGCAUACUUCAAAUGGUCCCGUGACUCUAAAUCACUCACUGAAGCUUCUUACGAAGAGCGGCGUGCCAAACUUGACUCAACAUCAACGAUUUGACUGAAUACAUCUUCACAAUCGCAAGUUUUGGAAGAGCUUGAACACUCAAACAUUAAAAGAGAAGAAGCAGCAAUGAUGAGCGUCUGGUGAUGAAGGGAAGAAGAGAUGUUUAAAGAAAAAGGUGAAAGGCCAAGCAGACCCAAACAUCAAACAUGUACCAACAUCAUGAAUCCAGGUGCAUUAACUUAGACCAAAUCAUUUUUCUCACUUGCUCUGUCCCCUUUUCCUUCCAAUUAUUAUUCUUCACAUCUUUAUGGUUUUACUUUUAUUAACCACGUUGACAAUGACUACUCAUGGUUCUGUGCUGUUUGUUCUAUCUUUAUGUUCCCAACUAUGUAAAUGUUUAACUUGUUUUCUUUUUCUUUUUCUAUCGCAUAAUUUAUUAUUUUUGAAAAAUAGUUGGAGAUACUUUAUUCCACUUGAAGGUAUGUUUCUAAACUAAAAUUUAGGUUAAAUUAUACAAAAACACCUCUGAACUU